AUGAUCAUGAUACCUCAUCACAUAGACAACCACUACACGCUAUAUGUAAUGAACAAGUACAGAGAUAGCAUCGACAUCCUUGACUCACUGGACUAUGUAAACUACGCCGAUUUGUCUUGGAGUAAACACCAUGUGCAUCGAACAGAACUGCUACGAAGGAUGUCGGUGCUGAUGAACAAGUACCACCAACUAAAACACAAGAAUGAACCAGACUGGGUAAGGAUAGCAGAAAGGCCUCACAGGGUCUGCACACCGAAGCAAGAAGGAACACAAUGCGGACACUUCACAUCCCAAUUUACCGAACACUGGAAUGGGAAAGAACUGGUCAAAGACAAAGAGGAUUUUCAUCCUAGCAAGGUGGAUGCUGAAUGGAAACCAGAGUACGUAUUCACACUCAAAUUCGGUAAAACCAACCAAAUAAAGCACCAUCAACUUCUUGAAAAAAUCAAAGCUUUCAAACCAGAGACUACAAGCUUUUUUUCGCCCAUGAAAGAGCGAGACGAAAAAAACCAGCAUCAGUCAAGAAGCACCAAUAAAUACCCACAACACCUGCACUCGUUUAGAUACGUGCGUAAGGCAAACGAGCUCUACGACAUAGUCAUGAGUGACACAUGGCAGGACAAAUUCAAAAGAAAAGUAGUAUUCUCGAGAGAUCAACCACAGGGGAACAACACAAGUCUCACUGGAUCAAACCUAAAGGAAAUAUUUGGGCCUGCAAACAAGAAAAAACGUCAAGGACUGGAAAAGAAGGUAUUCAUGCCAUUUGAAAAGGAAGAACGAUACACACUAUUAGUGCUCGACAAAUAUAGAAGGAAGAUUCAAAUCAUCGAGCCUGAAGAAACCUCUCUUGAAGAAUUGAAGAGGCAAGAAAACCUGAAAAAACAACGUGUUCACCACGUGCAUGAUGGCAAACUAAGUAAGCAAAUUGCUGACAUGGAAAUCAAUGAAGCCUACAAAGUAAAGGAGCAUAACAAAUACCACAACCAUAAAGACAAACUGGUGCCGAGGUUCAAGGAAGUAUAA
rnacentral:rRNA from 1 species